rnacentral:lncRNA from 1 species
AUUUGAUUUUGAUUUUUUGCUCUCUCUUUUCUCCGGACGUUAGGCUGCCUCGAGGAACGCUAAAGGAGGAAUAAAAUGAGGUAGGACCGAGAAAUGAAGAAGAGCCAUUAAACAAAAUUCUGAACUUUGUUUCAGAUUCAGAGCAAUUAAAUAAAAAAAAUUCACAAAUCACAAAUAAUAUACUCUAAAAAUUUCAAUCCUAUUCCCCUUUGAUCACAAAGAUUGUGGCUUUGAAGAAAGGCAGAAGACCCCAAAUAUAGAAAAAGCACAAAACAAUAUCUCGAUAGAAAAACAAAAAGUACACAAAUGCAAAGAGAACUCGAUGGCUUUCUCAACGAGUUCUUGGAUGUAAUUCCCAUCGAAACAGCGAUGGCUAGCAUCAUAGACUAGACGAACGAGGGAAACAGGUUUGGUCUUGCUCAUGGGCACCACCCGGAUGUUUCAUUUGAAGCAUCUAAACAAUUUGGGAGUAAAGAGUUGAAAAGUUUGCUGUGAAUGGUUUGGGAGUUUCCUGGAAUCAAGGGUUUUGAUUUGGGGCUGUGGGGUUUUGAACGUAUUCAAAAUUUGGGAGUAAAGAGUUGAAAAGUUUGCUGUGAAUGGUUUGGGAGUUUCCUGGAAUCAAGGGUUUUGAACGUAUUUAAUACGUGAUUAAAUGUGUUAAUUAGUUAUAAGAGUACUAAUCAAAAUUCUCAUUUUUUGGGGGUAUUAAG